rnacentral:rRNA from 1 species
GAUGAACGCUGACAGAAUGCUUAACACAUGCAAGUCAACUUGAACUUCGGUUUGGGUGGCGGACGGGUGAGUAACGCGUAAAGAACUUGCCUCACAGCUAGGGACAACAUUUGGAAACGAAUGCUAAUACCUGAUAUUAUGAUUUUAGGGCAUCCUAGAAUUAUGAAAGCUAUAUGCGCUGUGAGAGAGCUUUGCGUCCCAUUAGCUAGUUGGAGAGGUAACGGCUCACCAAGGCGAUGAUGGGUAGCCGGCCUGAGAGGGUGAACAGCCACAAGGGGACUGAGACACGGCCCUUACUCCUACGGGAGGCAACAGUGGGGAAUAUUGGACAAUGGACCAAGAGUCUGAUCCAGCAAUUCUGCGUGCACGAUGAAGUUUUUCGGAAUGUAAAGUGCUUUCAGUUGGGAAGAAAAAAAUGACGGUACCAACAGAAGAAGUGACGGCUAAAUACGUG